rnacentral:rRNA from 1 species
AUCGAACGCUGGCGGCAUGCCUUACACAUGCAAGUCGAACGGUAACGCGGGGCAACCUGGCGACGAGUGGCGAACGGGUGAGCAAUGCAUCGGAACGUGCCCAGUAGUGGGGGAUAGCCCGGCGAAAGCCGGAUUAAUACCGCAUACGACCUACGGGUGAAAGCGGGGGACCGUAAGGCCUCGCGCUAUUGGAGCGGUCGAUUUCAGAUUAGGUUGUUGGUGGGGUAAAAGCCUACCAAGCCGACGAUCUGUAGCUGGUCUGAGAGGACGACCAGCCACACGGGGACUGGGAAGCGGCACAGACUCCUACGGGAGGCAGCAGGGGGGAAUUUUGGACAAUGGGGGCAACCCUGAUCCAGCCGAGCCGCGUGCGGGAAGAGGGCCUUCGGGUUGUAAACCGCUUUUGUCAGGGAAGAAACGCUCUGGGCUAAUACCCCGGGGUAAUGACGGUACCUGAAGAAUAAGCACCGACUAACUACGUGCCAGCCGCCGCCGAACAC